AAAAAAAAGAGAAAAGAAAAAAAGAGAGUUAAAAGUAUUUACCAAA
rnacentral:sRNA from 1 species